GCGAAGUUGGUGAGCUGGGCUGUCGUAACCGCUAGAUCAGUGCACGUCUACACAUGAAUGAAUAUUCACAAUGAAACGAAGGCGCGCAUCACCGCAUUAAUAGCCAUAAGAAGGAUUACAAGCUGUUACGACAGCCAGUGUCAACAUGACAACACACCUUCGUUUUAUUUGAAUUAUUCAUGAUGUUGUGACCCAAACACUACGUUAAGCUUACAGUGAGUUUACAUCAUAAGCCACGGACAUUGACGCAAGGUAAACGCACACGGAAGAAGCGAAACCUACCACCGAGAAAUACAAGAAGAGAAACCGCAGAAGAAAAUGAGAAAUAGUUUCGUUGGGAAAAUGGCUUUGGGCAACAGACAGUCAGUCAGGCAGGCUUGCACAGACAGAGUGGCCAGCGAGAUUAUGCGCCUGUGUUGAUUCACAAGCUUGACAGAUGCUGAUUUGGAUGACAACAUAAUAAUCAAUAAACCAGAAGCUGAAUCUGCUUGUUGAGGGACUGCAUACAUUAACAAAGGAGUUGUUUGGCAAAAUAAACUUGGACCAACCUGCCUUGAUGCGCACCAAGCCAUGUACCGCACAGGUGGAUAUAUGAAUGCUUAUUUAAAAUUAUUUUCCUGUGCACACAUGAUUAUUCUGCCUUAUAUUGUUGUAAGCAAUAUUAGUUUACACACCUCAAGUUGUUGUGUCUGUGUUUAUUACAGAAAAACCUUAAAAGCAUGUAAGCAUAUCUGGCUCAGGGUCAGCAAGUUACUGGUUUCAAUUAUGCUUCAUUAGUUGCUGUAACAUCCUUGUCUGCUAUACAAACCUAUUUUAUCUAUGCAGUUUCUUUGUAUGUUUCUCUUUUAUCAUAAUGUGUAACUUUGUUACACUUUCUAUGAGCGGCCUCUACACUAAUAUCAGUUUGUUUUGUUUUCCAUGCCCCGUCCUGGAGUUCCCGAAGACACCAGAGGUCGCCAGUCCAAGCUCCGGGUUGUGGCCUGAUGCUCUUCCCAGUUCAGCCAGAUGCUUGUGAUGAUGGGCAAUCCACCUGAUGACAACUAACAAUUACCAUACUUUAACUUGAACAAAUAUAUUCUUUUCAUACGUUUUGGUAUUAUUGCAAACUGUUCUGGUAUAUUGUAAUUUAACAAUAUUUAAAAUAAUAAUAUACCUAGAUUAAAUAUACUUCAAUUAAAUAAUUGACCGUUUCUGACAAUCCAAGAUAACAUUUAUUUCAGUUUCAUCAGUGUACAUUGCAUUGAGAAAUAAUACCAUGUGUCUUAAUAUCAUAUACUU